CACUUUCGAUAAAAAAUCCGAAAAAUGACAGACAUAUCACGUAUCAUGAUAACACUGUUAAAACUAUAAACUUGUGUUGUUUAUAAUAUAAACUAAAGUUCUCCGUGUACAUAUUGUCAAUAUUUUAUUUUAUUACUUCCAAAAAAAGGUUUUGCCUGAAGAAAAUUCAGGGGAGGCAGUUGCCUCCCCUGCCUCAUAGGUAGUUACGGCCCUG
rnacentral:lncRNA from 1 species